rnacentral:rRNA from 1 species
AUGCAGUCGAGCGGACAGAAGGGAGCUUGCUCCCGGAUGUUAGCGGCGGACGGGUGAGUAACACGUGGGUAACCUGCCUGUAAGACUGGGAUAACUCCGGGAAACCGGAGCUAAUACCGGAUAGUUCCUUGAACCGCAUGGUUCAAGGAUGAAAGACGGUUUCGGCUGUCACUUACAGAUGGACCCGCGGCGCAUUAGCUAGUUGGUGGGGUAAUGGCUCACCAAGGCGACGAUGCGUAGCCGACCUGAGAGGGUGAUCGGCCACACUGGGACUGAGACACGGCCCAGACUCCUACGGGAGGCAGCAGUAGGGAAUCUUCCGCAAUGGACGAAAGUCUGACGGAGCAACGCCGCGUGAGUGAUGAAGGUUUUCGGAUCGUAAAGCUCUGUUGUUAGGGAAGAACAAGUGCGAGAGUAACUGCUCGCACCUUGACGGUACCUAACCAGAAAGCCACGGCUAACUACGUGCCAGCAGCCGCGGUAAUACGUAGGUGGCAAGCGUUGUCCGGAAUUAUUGGGCGUAAAGGGCUCGCAGGCGGUUUCUUAAGUCUGAUGUGAAAGCCCCCGGCUCAACCGGGGAGGGUCAUUGGAAACUGGGAAACUUGAGUGCAGAAGAGGAGAGUGGAAUUCCACGUGUAGCGGUGAAAUGCGUAGAGAUGUGGAGGAACACCAGUGGCGAAGGCGACUCUCUGGUCUGUAACUGACGCUGAGGAGCGAAAGCGUGGGGAGCGAACAGGAUUAGAUACCCUGGUAGUCCACGCCGUAAACGAUGAGUGCUAAGUGUUACGGGGUUUCCGCCCCUUAGUGCUGCAGCUAACGCAUUAAGCACUCCGCCUGGGGAGUACGGUCGCAAGACUGAAACUCAAAGGAAUUGACGGGGGCCCGCACAAGCGGUGGAGC